UCCUGAUUUUCAGCAGGCCACCUCCUGCUGAGUCCUCACUUGGGAGAGAGGAGCGAGGGACAGAGGGAGAGAGAGAGAGAGAGAGUGGGAGAGAGUGGGAGAGAACUUAAACUCUGGCUUCUUUUCCUUUUCCUGUAAGGACACUAAUUCCAUCACGGGGGCCCACCCUCAGGACCUCAUCUAACCUAAUUACCCCCCAGAGUCCUCACCGCCAAAUACCAUCACACUGGGGGUUAGGGCCUUCAACAUGAAUUUGGGGGAUAAAAACAUUCAGUCUAUAACUCUCUUAGAUCAUACAUGUUUAUCGAGUGCCUGUUGGGUACCAGAUGCUGGGGUUUCCAACAAGAACCAGAUGGGAGCUAUCGUGAGCGCCUUCCCGGUCCAGCGGGUGAGACACAGUGCCCUGGAAUUUACAAACUAGGCUGAUAAGCGCUGUGAUGUGAUCAUGGAACACAGGGAAAUGAGCACAGACGUGGAGAGUCAUGAGAGUUAAUGAAGCCAAUGGAAGCGACAUCUAGGUUGAUGCCAGGCCGACUUGAUUGGGAGACAAAAAGUAGGGGAAAGUGUCUAAAAAGGACAGCAUGUGCAAAGAGCUGGAGGCAGGACCUUUGGGGAACUGACAGCACCACAUUCAUGUACCGGUGGGCUGUAGAGGGUAGAGGAAGGGGAGGGAGAGAUGAACCUAAAAGGAAAGAAGGAGCAUGAUCAUGAAGAUUCCUCCUUGAUUUAAAAACUUUCAGUGAUUUCCCUUUACCUAACAGGACACAAAAUCCAGCUUCAGAGAGCCGCAUUCAGUGUUUCUCACAGCGUCAGACCUCUUUCAAAUAACAGCAGUUUCUCUGAUGCUAGUUUAAUAACAACAGCAAAGCAAUUAGUUCAUGUCACUGAAAAGUUUCAGCUUCAGGCAUGGUUGGAUCCAGAUGCUCAGAUGGUAUUGUCUGGAUCUGGAUCUCAUUCGUUCCCACUCAGGACAUUUGCAUUUGUUGUCCCCUUUGCUAGGAUGGCCUAACUUUCAGAUCUCCUCAUGGCUGACUCAUUCAGAUCUCAGCUGAAAUGUCACCUCAGCAGAGAGAUUUCCUUGGCCAUUAACUAAAGCAGGACCUUCCCACCCCAGCCGGCUUCGGCCCCGUCAGCCUACCCUUUGUUCUUUGCAGCAGCCAUAAUUAUCUGAAGAUGUCCUGCUGAUUUAUUACCUUUUUACUGAUCUCUCAUUUGGCCUGACCGCCCACACAGAAUAUAAGCAGUCCAAGAUCAGGGGUGGCGUUUGCCCUGGCUCACAGCCCAGUGAGUCUCCAAGGCUGACAACAGUGUAUGGUCGACACCAGUGAUGUUUUUACAGAGUGAAUGGACGAACGAAUGACCGAAUCCGUGCGUGCAUCUCUCUCUCUCCAUCUCGCAGCUUUCCCUUCUUCUCUGGGCCUGAGAUCACCAGCACUGCCAGCUGUAGUCCUACCAGCUGAGAAACACCAGUGGAAAACUAGCCGGGUUCUCUGUAGUUGGGGCAGGAGGCCCCAGAAUGACUCCGAUUGGCCCAGCCCAGUCACACAGCAUCAUCCCUGCCCCAAUCACUGUGGCCGGUGGGAGGGAUAUGGGUCUCUCAUUGGCCAGGACUGGCCCCCCUCUGGCCCAAACCUCGAGGAGGCAGGUUGAGUUUGGGGAGGGAGGAGCGGGUGCCACCACACUGAGUAAGGCCAGCAAGGUGUUUGGGCCGCGGCUUCCACCUUCCAAGCAUCUAAUUGUCGCCUGAACAUGCUGCCUUCUUUCUAGCUAGAGGCCAAAUCCCAGCCCCUGCCUCUGCCCUUCCUGUUCCCCAUGUCCGGAAUGUUCUUCCCUGCGAUCUCCUUUGCAGCCCAGUUCUGCUCUCACCUCCUUCAGGAAGCCUUCCUAGAUGCCCGCAAUCCCAGGGGCCACCCCGGCAGCCCUUGGAUUCCUUGUCGGUGGGCACUCGGCGGCUUGCUGAUGGGAUCGGCAACCACCUAGGGGCAGGAGUGCUACGGAGUCCUCUUGCGGCACAGGCUGACCUCGGUGAUGGGCAUGCGGCGAGAGCCGUUGCUAGGCCCGGCAGUGUGCAGAGCCCCCUACCCCUUGUGCUGAUACCCCAGGCAAGUGCAGGCCUGGGGAAGGUCUGAGGAAGCGAUGAGGGAGCGGAGGCGGGUGACCGUGCUGUGCUGGGUGCGCAGCAGCCGGAGCCAGGCUCUGGGCCCGGCACCCGCGGGCAUGAGCUGUUUAACCUUGGGCACUUCUCCAGUCUUGGCUCAGAAUGGCCACAGAACGCAGAAUGCAACGAACACGAGCUGAGCCGACCCACCCCGGAACCCUCCAGGAUGGACCAGAUGGUCCUUACCCUGGGGUUGGGGGCGCCCAGCUCGCCCCUGCGCCCCGGGGCCAUCCUCCUCUACCAGAAAAUCUCCCGUUCUCUGCCCUGCAGAGAAUUCAGGGGACGGUGGAGCUCUUCCCCAGCCCAGGCUCCCUGCCAGGAGCCGCAGGCACCCGAGGUGGCGGAGUCCCGCUGGCAAACGCAGCGUAUGGCAGUGCCCUGCGGGCCGGCAACCCCACCCCCCGGGCGCCCCCGCGCUUCCAAUUAACCAGAGCGCCGCACGGUGGCGCUCGUUCCCCCUUUUCUCCAGACGAAACCCAGCCUGGAGACCCGUGGGUCCGUCCGUCCGUCCGUCCGUCCACCUAAGUACUGCUUAAAUCCCAAGAGUGAUAUAUGGUCGGAGAAUGAAGAAAACGAGAGGAUGUCCAACUCUCCAGUCACUGGAGUGAAAUGGAAGCAUCGUACUGGCCUCCAGACCUAGGAUUGCAGCCAGGUCUUGACACCCACCAGCUGCAGGACCUUGAACAGGCACUACUAGCCUCCCGUGAGCCUCAGACUUUACAUCUGUGAAAUGGGGCUAAGGAUAAUGCUUCCUUGGAGUUGUUGUAGGGACACAGCCAGGAGCAGAAACAGGGCAGGGUCAGCCUGAUUGCUACCAGGUGGGCAGUGCUAAUUUACAUGGUGGUUGAUUAUUAAUGAAACACCUGACAUUUGGUUACUGCCCUGUCCACUCCUGAGGACUUCCUGGUCUGUGUCCCCUGGAUGCUCGCAGGACACUCACCCAGAGGCUGCAGACAGGACGAGAGCUUUGGGACCAUCAACCUGGGCCAGAGAGGGUGGAGGGGAUUCACAAGCCUGCCCUUGGCGUCUGCGGGAGCAUUUCAUCACUUGGAAUUACUGGGCAGAUGAUGGGAAACAGAGAACCCACCCCCAGCAGUGCUGGGCACCGUGACCAAGUCCACGCAGCUGUGAGGGCGAUCCUUCGCUCAUCCGCUCUGGAACCAUCCAGCAGGCAGGCUACACCUUACAGAAUCCGCAGGAGACAGGCUCCUGGGGCUUUUGCUCUGUUUAUAUCUGUUUUGCAUAUGCCGGCUACCUCCAUGGACGUGCCAGCUACCUUUGUCUCCGCCUAAGAAAGUGAUCUAGAUGCCAGGCUGAGGGGGGCAACCGCGUGCCCUCGUGACUCGGACAGUACGUCCUUGAACGGAGGGACGGCCAUGCACUUCUGCACGUUCACCGGUUUGCAGAUUUAAGAGGACGCACAGGCCUCCUUGGGAAAGCGGGAAAGCGUUCUUCCUGCCCGGAUGCGGCCGCUCCACUGCUGGGCGUACACCUGAAAGCAUCCGAAGGAGGGACUCAAAGAGCUGUUUGUACUCAACGUUCACAGCCGAAGUGUUCACAGCAAUCCAGUCGGGGAAGCGACCCAUGUGUCUACUGACGAGUACAGCAAUAACCAGUCUGGGGUGGCCCAGUCGGUGAAGCCUCUGCUUUCAGCCCAGGUCAUGAGCUCAGAGUCCUGGGAUCGAGCCCAUCGGGCCUGCUCAACAGGGGGUCUGUCUCAGGUCUUCUCCCUCUCCCUCUGGCCCCCCCACCUCUCUA